rnacentral:misc_RNA from 1 species
GAACGCACCUUGCGCCCUUUGGCUAUUCCGAAGGGCAUGCCUGUUUGAGUAUCAUGAACACCUCAACUCUCAUGGUUUGCCGUGAUGAGCUUGGACUAUGGGGGUCUUGCUGGCCUGUGGUCAGCUCCUCUCAAAUGAAUCAGCUUGCCAGUGUUUGGUGGCAUCACAGGUGUGAUAACUAUCUACGCUUGUGACCGUUCACCAGGUAACCUUCAGCGAUGGAGGUUCGCUGGAGCUCACAGACGUCUCUCCCCAGGGAGGACAGCUUCUAAAUGUUUGAUCUCAAAUCAGGUAGGACUACCCGCUGAACUUAAG